AGGCACCUAGGGCACAAAAUGGAAUCGCCCACAGUGAAACCUCUUGUGCUCAGUCUCAGGAAGCGAUGGCCGUAUCUGGUGUCUGCCCCAAAAUUGACUGUAUGAUUUUGCUCUAAAAUUCAAGGACUAAAAUCUUUAGGAAGAAACAUAACUUUCCCCUCAUGAGCAAUGGCUACACUGUGUCCCAUUAGCAGCUAUUCUGGCUCUGGAGGAUGCCAAACAUCUGGAUGCAAAAUUAACUCAGUCAUGCAGAUGUUUCUGCAAACAGGCGAUCUUCCAGUUCUCAGUCAACAGCCAACAGCAUCAGGCAGCCCGCAGAUUACAUACCCAGAUAUUUUUUCUUCUCUUUUCCUACUCAUUUAACUAUUCAGAGCCACUCAAAUGGCUAGUAUGACAUACAUAAAACAGCAUGGCAUACUGUGGCUUUGAGGACCUAGCCAGAAAAAUAAAGGGUUGUGCGUAGAAUAGGAUGGUUAGCGGGAUCUGAUGCUGCAAAAAUUCUUCCCUGACCAGGCAACAUUCUUGAAUAUAAAAGAAUUUGCUGAAAUAUCAAUGUGACUUCUGAACUAUUCACAAGAGCGCAUUUCCAAGAAAUACCAAGGAGGUUAAACCAUCCACUGAAAACAAAUCAGGAACCGGAUGCCAUUCCGCUGCUCACUCCACGGAACCUCUCCCGGGUCUUAGGCUCUCCGAGUCCCAGGUCGCACAUUUGUGACCGGGGGCCUUAAUCCUUACUUGUGCCAGACACUUGACUUUGAAGAAAAACACAGAAGCGCCAAUCAGCUGUGUUGUGGCGGAAGUUCCUGAAGGGAUUCUGAGCACCUGAGCAAAGGUCCAGGGCAUGGAGCUCCAGCUCUGAAUGUAAGCAGCGUCAGACAGUCCCACAACUCAGAAGACAUAAAGGACUCCAGUGUAGAAUUGUACUUCCCGGCCACCUGCCGAGAAAUGCUCUUACCUGAACCUCAGGGAUCACCGUCAAGAUGGGACAUGCAGAAAGGAAAUCUCACAGCCACCAGGACCCCCGGGACCCGCCCACAGCUUUUCAUAUACUUCCCCCGGUGGCAAGGUCCCAUCCAAGGACCCUCCUCCUUCCACCAACAAGCAACCCUUUUAUUUCUCAUAAGAAAGGAGGUAGUAUCUACCAGGAUGGACUUGGAUACGCAGUUAGCUUUCACAAUAUUUCAUUUGGAAUCUAAACCCAACUGCAUUUUCUUCUGUAUUUCACAUCCCCAAAGCUGUAUUUUAAGCAUCUAUUUGUACAUUACUUAUAAAUACAGUGUGUGUGUAUG